CUCAUCAAUUCAACCAGGGGAACCGGAAAACCGUCACGGCUUUAUAUUACCGUCAGGAAUAUGGAUACCUGGGGCGCAGCUAAACCGGCCUGCAAUAAACAAACGUCUUCAUAAUCAACAUCUUGGCGAUCGUGGCCGUCAGCUGCUGAAUAUUCAUCGAACAGUUCGGAAGCGGUGAACGAAGGUUACGGCCUCUAGUAACGCCAUGAAUUGGACCACAGGAUGUACACGGAACAUACCGUUCUCCAACGGAUUCACGUCGAAAACAACAAAGAAGUUCAGGUGGAUUGAGAUAAUCCGUCGGAAAUCGUUACAGGAUAACCUCGCCACAACGGAAAUCAUUUGGGGAUUCGGCAAGAAUUCGAAAAAACGAAGAUUCGUCAAUUUAACCAGGGGAACCGAAAA